rnacentral:rRNA from 1 species
CAUUUAUUAAACCAAAACCAAGCGGCCUCGGUCGUUUAUUUCGGUGACUCGUACAAUUUCGUUGAUCACAUGAUCUUGUAUCGGCGACACGUCUAUCAAGUUUCUGCCCUAUCAACUUUUGAUGGUUCUUUAUUGGAGAACCAUGGUUAUAACGGGUAACGGAGAAUUAGGGUUCGACUCCGGAGAGGGAGCCUGAGAAACGGCUACCACAUCCAAGGAAGGCAGCAGGCGCGAAAAUUACCCACUCUCAGUGCGAGGAGGGAGUGACGAAAAAUAACAAGGCUGAUCGCUUUGCGAGCAGCUAUUGGAAUGGGUACAAUUUAAACCCUUUAACGAGGACCUAUGAGAGGGCAAGUCUGGUGCCAGCAGCCGCGGUAAUUCCAGCUCUCAAAAUGUACUUAACCAUUGUUGCGGUUAAAAAGCUCGUAGUUGGAUCUCUGCAACGCGAAGUGGUUCGUUCAUUGAACGAUUACUUCUUCGCGUUGCUCUCUUUUUGUCGCUUUUUGGCAGUGUUCCUCACGGAGUGCUGUCGUGACUGACGAGUU